UAGGGAAUCUUCGGCAAUGGACGAAAGUCUGACCGAGCAACGCCGCGUGAGUGAAGAAGGUUUUCGGAUCGUAAAACUCUGUUGUUAGAGAAGAACAAGGACGUUAGUAACUGAACGUCCCCUGACGGUAUCUAACCAGAAAGCCACGGCUAACUACGUUCCAGCAGCCGCGGUAAUACGUAGGUGGCAAGCGUUGUCCGGAUUUAUUGGGCGUAAAGCGAGCGCAGGCGGUUUCUUAAGUCUGAUGUGAAAGCCCCCGACUCAACCGGGGAGGGUCAUUGGAAACUGGGAGACUUGAGUGCAGAAGAGGAGAGUGGAAUUCCAUGUGUAGCGGUGAAAUGCGUAGAUAUAUGGAGGAACACAAGUGGCGAAGGCGGCUCUCUGGUCUGUAACUGACGCUGAGGCUCGAAAGCGUGGGGAGCAAACAGG
rnacentral:rRNA from 1 species